rnacentral:rRNA from 1 species
UACAAAGGGGGCAAGCGUUGUUCGGAAUUACUGGGCGUAAAGGGCGCGUAGGCGGCCUGCUAAGUCGAACGUGAAAUCCCCGAGCUCAACUCGGGAACUGCGUCCGAUACUGGCAGGCUUGAAUCCGGGAGAGGGAUGCGGAAUUCCAGGUGUAGCGGUGAAAUUCGUAGAUAUUGGGAAGAACACCGGUGGCGAAGGCGGCUAUCUGGCCCGUAAUUGACGCUGAGGCGCGAAAGCGUGGGGAGCAAACAGG